rnacentral:tRNA from 1 species
AUUUAUGUAGUUUAUGUAAAACAUUACAUUUUCACUGUAAAAAUAAUAGGAAUAUUCUUAAAUA